rnacentral:tRNA from 1 species
GGGCUGUUAGCUCAGUUUGGUUAGAGCGUCUGGUUUACACCCAGAAGGUCGCUGGUUCGAAUCCAACACAGCCCA